UAAAAAAUGAGAAGAAAUAAUUAAAAGGUCAAAAUCUGUAACUCCUCUUAGAAACCUUUGGCAACUUGCCAUUUUCCAAAAAAAAUGAGUCCUACAUUUCUUCACCUGGAGAUCACAUGACUUAGGUGAAGUGAAGUGGAAGAGGUCUGAGUCUAAAGCUAACAGAAGAAUGAGUAGAAUGAGAAAAG